rnacentral:tmRNA from 1 species
AGUGCCACCGCCGACUUAAAAAGAAAAGGGAUCGCUGCUACCACAGGCUGUGCCGGUAGCCUAAGAUCAUCCAGCUAAGGAACGUGUUGGUUUGUCCUGGUCCUGCACGUUUCCGACAAAUAAUCCGAGGAAUAAGCAUGUAGAAAGCUUUUGGAUAUCCUGUUUGCACACCGGUUCGAUCCCGGUCACCUCCACAC